AUACGGAGGAUCCGAGCGUUAUCCGGAUUUAUUGGGUUUAAAGGGUGCGCAGGCGGGAGAUUAAGUCGGCGGUGAAAUUUUGCAGCUCAACUGUAAAAGUGCCUUCGAAACUGGUUUCCUUGAGUGUAGAUGAAGUAGGCGGGAUUUGUGGUGUAGCGGUGAAAUGCAUAGAUAUCACGAGGAACUCCGAUUGCGCAGGCAGCUUACUAAACUACUACUGACGCUCAGGCACGAAGGCGUGGGGAUCAAACAGGAUUAGAUACCCUGGUAGUCCACGCAGUAAACGAUGAUUACUAGCUGUUUGCGAUACAAUGUAAGCGGCUGAGCGAAAGCGUUAAGUAAUCCACCUGGGGAGUACGUUCGCAAGAAUGAAACUCAAAGGAAUUGACGGGG
rnacentral:rRNA from 1 species